rnacentral:rRNA from 1 species
UACGUAGGGGGCUAGCGUUGUCCGGAAUCAUUGGGCGUAAAGGGCGCGUAGGUGGCGGGACAAGCGUGCGGUGAAAGCUCGGGGCUCAACCCCGAGUCGGCCGUGCGAACUGUUUUGCUUGAGCACUGUAGAGGCAGGCGGAAUUCCGGGUGUAGCGGUGGAAUGCGUAGAUAUCGGGAGGAACACCGGUGGCGAAGGCGGUUCUCUGGGCCUGUACUGACGCUGAGGAGCGAAAGCGUGGGGAGCGAACAGG